rnacentral:rRNA from 1 species
GAUGAACGCUGACAGAAUGCUUAACACAUGCAAGUCAACUGUGGCGGACAGGUGAGUAACGCGUAAAGAACUUGCCUCCCAGCUAGGGACAACAUUUGGAAACGAAUGCUAAUACCUGAUACUGUGAGAGAGCUUUGCGUCCCAUUAGCUAGUUGGAGAGGUAACGGCUCACCAAGGCGAUGAUGGGUAGCCGGCCUGCGAGGGUGAUCGGCCACAAGGGGACUGGGACACGGCACUUACUCCUACGGGAGGCAGCAGUGGGGAAUAGUGGAAAAUGGACCAAAGUCUGAUCCAGCAAUGCGGUGUGCAAGAUGAAGUUUUCGGAAUGUAAAGUGUGUUCAGUUGGGAAACGGUACCAACAGAAGAAGUGACGGCUAAAUACGUGCCAGCAGCCGCGGUAAUAC